UACGUAGGGUCCGAGCGUUGUCCGGAAUUACUGGGCGUAAAGAGCUCGUAGGUGGUUUGUCGCGUUGUUCGUGAAAACUCACAGCUCAACUGUGGGCGUGCGGGCGAUACGGGCAGACUAGAGUACUGCAGGGGGAGACUGGAAUUCCUGGUGUAGCGGUGGAAUGCGCAGAUAUCAGGAGGAACACCGGUGGCGAAGGCGGGUCUCUGGGCAGUAACUGACGCUGAGGAGCGAAAGCGUGGGGGAGCGAACAGG
rnacentral:rRNA from 1 species